rnacentral:rRNA from 1 species
GUGAGGAAUAUUGGUCAAUGGACGAGAGUCUGAACCAGCCAAGUCGCGUGAAGGAAGACGGUUCUAUGAAUUGUAAACUUCUUUUGUGCAGGAAUAAAGUGGGUUACGUGUAACCUUUUGUAUGUACUGUACGAAUAAGGAUCGGCUAACUCCGUGCCAGCAGCCGCGGUAAUACGGAGGAUCCGAGCGUUAUCCGGAUUUAUUGGGUUUAAAGGGUGCGUAGGUGGAUUGAUAAGUCAGCGGUGACAGUUUGCAGCUUAACUGUAAAAUUGCCGUGGAAACUGUCGGUCUUGAGUGCAAAUGAGGUAGGCGGAAUGUGUUGUGUAGCGGUGAAAUGCUUAGAUAUAACACAGAACUCCGAUUGCGAAGGCAGCUUACUGGGAUGCAACUGACACUGAUGCACGAAAGCGUGGGUAUCAAACAGGAUUAGAUACCCUUGUAGUCC